UACGUAGGGGGCUAGCGUUGUCCGGAAUCAUUGGGCGUAAAGCGCGCGUAGGCGGCCCGAUAAGUCCGCUGUAAAAGUCAACGGCUCAACUGUUGAACGCCGGUGGAUACUGUCGGACUAGAGUACAGAAGGGGCAACUGGAAUUCUCGGUGUAGCGGUGAAAUGCGUAGAUAUCGAGAGGAACACCUGCGGCGAAGGCGGGUUGCUGGGCUGAUACUGACGCUGAGGCGCGAAAGCCAGGGGAGCGAACGGG
rnacentral:rRNA from 1 species